CGUGAUUUACGCGCGGUUUUUGACCAACAUUUAUGAUGUCUCGACAACGACUGAGUGGAGGUAAACCAAAAAAUAACGAUCCAUACGAACGAGAAAAUGAACGCAUUAUGAAAUUGUUCAAUGAUUCAUCAGAUGAGUUAUCUUAAUCUUCUUAAAAUUAAAAUUAUAUUAAAGAUUUUAAUUGCAAUGUCGUUUAGAAUGAUUAAAAUUAAGGAAAGUUUAUAUUGUGAUUAAAAGGGUAAUUUUUAUAUUGAAAUAACUAUUGUAAUGUCGAUGUAAUUUUUCCUACAUUAAAAUAAAUAAAACCUUGUGUUUUUAUUAUCUACUGGUGUUCUUUUUAUCAUAAUUAUUUUGAAACUUUGUAGAAGGGAUUAAUAAUAUUGAUGGCUAUAGUCGCAGUAUGCUGUAUUUGAAUAAAAUAACCGUUUACUACUGACGUAACGACUGAUGCCUUUGAAGGCUAUAGCCGGUGCGUCCUAUUUGUAUAGUCAAAGACUACAUACCUGUGACGUAACGUUUGGAGCAGGCGAAGGCUAUGGCCGGUGUUGUCUUAUUUAAAUACGUUGUCUUUUUUACCGGCGACAGUACGGCUAUAGCCUUUCAUACAAAAAUCUUGUGUCAAGAUAGGGUUACAAAAUCAAGCAAAGUGUCCGCGAACGUGUUAAGAUUUACCGACAUGAGUUGGUAAAUGUAAGUAUUUCUGAAGAUACGACGAUUUUUUCGAGCUUUUACCAUUCGAACUCAGUAUAUGCUAGGUUUUACCACUGUCAGCUGGUAGAUGUUGGUUUUG